GAUGAACGCUGGCGGCGUGCCUAAUACAUGCAAGUCGAGCGAACGGACGAGAAGCUUGCUUCUCUGAUGUUAGCGGCGGACGGGUGAGUAACACGUGGAUAACCUACCUAUAAGACUGGGAUAACUUCGGGAAACCGUAGCUAAUACCGGAUAAUAUUUUGAACCGCAUGGUUCAAAAGUGAAAGACGGUCUUGCUGUCUCUUAUAGAUGGAUCCGCGCUGCAUUAGCUAGUUGGUAAGGUAACGGCUUACCAAGGAAACGAUGCAUAGCCGACCUGAGAGGGUGAUCGGCCACACUGGAACUGAGACACGGUCCAGACUCCUACGGGAGGCAGCAGUAGGGAAUCUUCCGCAAUGGGCGAAAGCCUGACGGAGCAACGCCGCGUGAGUGAUGAAGGUCUUCGGAUCGUAAAACUCUGUUAUUAGGGAAGAACAUAUGUGUAAGUAACUGUGCACAUCUUGACGGUACCUAAUCAGAAAGCCACGGCUAACUACGUG
rnacentral:rRNA from 1 species